rnacentral:rRNA from 1 species
GAUCAACGCUGGCGGCGUGCAUGAGACAUGCAAGUCGAACGGAUGACUCGGGCUUGCUCGAGUCGUUAGUGGCGGACGGCUGAGUAACGCGUGGGUGACCUGCCCCGAAGUGGGGAAUAACUGCCCGAAAGGGUGGCUAAUACCGCAUGUGGUGGUGCGUUCAAUUGCACCAGUAAAGCCGCAAGGCGCUUCGGGAGGGGCCUGCGUCCGAUUAGCUCGUUGGUGGGGAACGGCUCACCAAGGCGACGAUCGGUAGGUGGUCUGAGAGGACGAUCACCCAGACUGGGACUGAGACACGGCCCAGACUCCUACGGGAGGCAGCAGUCGGGAAUUUUGCUCAAUGGGGGAAACCCUGAAGCAGCAACGCCGCGUGAGGGAUGAAGGCCU